GGCCGGUAACCGCCAAUGAGCGCGGAGCACGAGCGGGAAGGAGGCGGGGGCGGUAACGGCGGCGCUCGGUGAGCUCCAAGCCCACAAGAUGGAGGGGUGCGGAUCGUGAUGCUCAACCCAGCAUGGAUGGAAAGCAUGCAAGGAGCCAGCUGGAUUCAAACCUGCAACCAGUCGCCUUGAAGUCCAAUACAGAUGUCUCUACAACACUAGCUUGCUAAUGGGAAGCAUACUGGGCACUAAUAAAGAGCAUCACGACUGAAAUCGACUUUGGAAAAUAUCUCAUGGUGUAUUCUAGUGUGCCACCAUCUUGGAUUUUCAAACUGAUAACACUUGGCGACCACAAUUUCAUUUCAGAAGAUACUAUUUUUCCAACUUUCAAAC